rnacentral:rRNA from 1 species
UACGUAGGCGGAAAAUUAAGUCAGUAGUGAAAUCCUGCAGCUUAACUGUAGAACUGUUAUUGAUACUGGUUUUCUUGAAUUUAGUUGAGGUGGGCGGAACGUGUAAUGUAGCGGUGAAAUGCUUAGAUAUUACACAGAACACCGAUUGCGAAGGCAGCUCACUAAACUAAUAUUGACGCUGAGGCACGAAAGCGUGGGUAGCGAACAGGAUUAGAUACCCUGGUAGUCC